CCUAUGUUUGGCAAUUUUUUUUACCUUUGUUAGCAUUAAGAAUUGCCACCAUCUGUUUUUUUACAUUACUAGGGACACUAGUGCAUGCAGAAACUUCUCCCUUAACCACUGCCAAGUGUUGCUUGAACCUAUGUACCCCACUACUUAUCACUCUUUGACAGUAAUUACAAAUAAUUUUGUCUUUCUUAUUGGGAUCAAGUCUGACCCCAUGUUGCCAUGCAGGGUCUUCUACAGAUCUUGACAUGAUUCAACUGUUUUAAGAUGUAAAAAGUAUAAAAUUAACCUGACAGUUCAAAAAGAAAAAUAAUCACCAUGUGUAGUGAUAAUAUGUUGCGGUAGUUCAUGUAGUCAUAUUCGUUGUUAUUUGUUAUUGCAAAAUACCUUUUUUGACAAUAAUAUUUUCGUACAUAUCAAUUACAAACAUU
rnacentral:lncRNA from 1 species